CCCUUCCUUAUGAAGACCCAGGGGAUUGCUUACUUAGCAUCCACCAGAGGCAAUGGAUAGGGUGAGCAGUCACUGCAGCCAGAAAACCCCAGCGCGGAGCAAAGGCAAUUACCUCUGCACGCAGAGACUUUGGAGCUGAAUUGUGCUGAGCAGAGAGCCCCUCCGGCUGGCAGAGCCAUGUGCGGCCGAGAAGAGCAGCCACUUUCGCUCCGCUGAAAAGCAAUGCAAGCACACCAGUGAUAAGAACCGCUUCCAGGUCUGGGUGGACGUGAACCUGAGCGGAGCCUGAAGGCGUUAACGGCACGCUGACUAACAAAACUUUUAAAAUAUGACUACAGUGAGGAUUUUAGCUCCACAAUGCUGCCAUGCCAGGAUGUGACAGGCUUCCUACCCAGGUCUGGAAGGUGCUCAAUGAUGUUAGCAGCAAACAUAAACCCAGAUGAGGAGCAGCAUGAGCCAUGGAGGGACCCACCCCAGAACCUGCAUAUGUUGACGUGGACAAGGGACUGACAUUAGCAUGUUUUGUCUUCCUCUGCCUUUUCUUGAUUGUGAUGAUAAUUCGCUGUGCAAAAGUCAUCAUGGACCCUUACAGUGCCAUACCCACAUCCACAUGGGAGGAGCAGCACCUGGAUGACUGAAGGGACUUGACUAGACAGAGCCAUAAAAUGCUGUAAUCUAGGAGGUCUCUUCCUACCAAGAAGGCAAGCAGAAACAGCCACUUUUAGAUAUGCAGGAUGACGGCAAUAUAUUUAAGAGCCAAUAGUUCAAGUGAUUAUUGCUCAAUAGAUCAGGACAUCAGCAAGCCAUUCUGAAAGCACAAUAAUACUAUGCAGCAACCCUCAUUUUAAUGAAGACAGUCAUCACAUAACUCAGUAGCACAACAUGUCCUCCAGACUUUUCCUAUAGCUAUAGCAAAGUCUGCCCUCUCAAUGUCUCCCACAAAUUCAGGGCUUCGUUCAGAAAUAGGAAUUUGAAAAAGCAAUAAGAAUGUCUUCCCUGAAUACAAGAUUGCUUCAAAUACCUUCCUGAGUCAUCAUAUUUGUGUUUGGGAGGGCAAAGUUUUACAGUUUUGUAUCCCCAAGCAUUGUUAGGUAGAAUCAUAGAAUCAUUAAGGCUGAAAAGACCAAGAAGAUUGUCUAGUCCAAUCAUCAACCCAGGAGAAGGAACACUAAAGCACCAUGGCUAUGAGCAGGUUUAUUCUCAGUGAAGUAGGUUGUGCCCACAUGCUCCCUACCACGGUGCUGUUGUAUUUCCAGUGAUCAAGAUACAGUGACACUCAAACUGCAGUUCUCCAGGGGGCUGUGGGCUACGGUUGACUCAGCAGCAUCACCUUACUCUAUCCUACUCGUGGAUAACUAGAUAUUUUGCCAUCUGCCAUUGAUCAGUCAGAUCUCUUGCAAUGAGCUUGGUAACCACAGUUCACAGAGCAGACCUUGGACACCAUUGGCUUCAACAACAUAGAAUUGGCAAUGUUUAUCAAAGAGUGAUUCCAUAUGAACCUUCAUUAAUCUUGUCUUUCAGACACAGUUCAGUGGUAUCACACAAAGAUGUUAAAGACAAUAAGCAAAGACAUUGUUCCUAGCUUUGUCAGUCAGAUUUGGUAGCCUAAGUUACAGUAGCAACAAUAUGCAUUCUACCUCAAACAAAUUCAGUACCUUUAAAAGAUUUUUUCCCCAUAUUUUUGGAUGAUUAUCUGUAUAUUUCCUUUGCUCAAUAUAUUAAGAAAGAUGUGAAGAAGGGAACUUUGGAAUUACAUUAUUUACCUUUUGAAGAGUGGUGAACAAAAGUUUCUCACAUCCUCCACUUCUUAAGUUCUAAGGUUUGCCCACAGCUGCCUUGAGUGACUACACAUUUGGCUUAAGGGAUUGCGAAGAGCUGCUGAAGCGAUCAGGAGUAGGUACUGCAACCACUAGUGUCAUGGACAAACAAGACCUGAGAGCACAAAUCUGCAAGGACACUUCAUUUUCUCCUCUUCCUCGCCAUCUUGUUUUCUGCAAACUUGCCAUAAGACAACACAGAGCAGAUUAGAAAGGUGGAAACACAAAGGUUGGAGCAAGGAACCAGGACAUAGACUUUGUAGGUUGGACAUAGAUUCUGUUGGUUGCAACUCUUGGCUCUGACAGAUUUGUUUGACCACUGCAUGAGUCCCUUCUUUCUGUCUAAGUCUACAAAUGUGCAGAACUGGUACAAUACUAGUAGCUUGUCUUGCCCUGUUUCAACUAUAUCAUAUCACUGUAUAAGCACUUGAAGAGCCUUAGAUAGGGACAUGGAAAUAAGAUGUUGAUUUACAACUCCAUGUAAAACUAAGCAGGAAGGUCUGAAUCUCAGUGUACAGCAAGGGAAAAGGGAAGGGAAAAUCUCCACAGCAGAGAGCUUGUCCAGACCUCCAUGCACUUUUAUUAAGGUCAGAAUAUCCUGAGUCAUUCUGAUGGCACCUGGCUUUAUUGCCUAUUCCACUGAGUUCCAAGGAGUACUGAAUACAGAAUAGCAGGCUAUGAGGCAUAUGGAAACCCCGCAUGCACCUUUUGCCCUAGGCUCAACUGCACAAUUUUUGCUAAUUUCUAUUACAGGAGAUCCCGUUCAGGAGAUAGGAGAGUUGAGGAUCAGCUUUGAUCCUGCUAUUCUUUACCAAGAGACCUCCAUUGCUUCAAUAACCCACUGCAGACUGCACACCAGCCUGCUGUUUAGCUUCAGGUUCUGUUAGCCAAUUAACCACUAGCAACAGCAGUUUUCUGAGUGUGAAUGUUAAAGUCCAACACACUUUGAGCAAAUACGUUGGUCUCUUAUUCAUGAGCGUACCUAUCCAUACUGUAGCUCAAAGAGCAUUGCUGCUGUUCCCCUGACAUUUAGAACCUGUUUUUGUCACCAAAUUCCAUAUCCCACUUCAAUGCAAGCGGGGCUACAGAAUAUACAAAACAAAAAAAUAGCAAAAUAACUAUUUGCAGGCUACAAAGGCUUCCAGAUUUCAGGUUACCUGGCUGUAUUCACAACUGACACAAAUCAAGAACAGUGUCUGUCACUACUCCUGGUGCCAGUACUCCUCUCAAGGAGUGCCCACAUGCUUUGGCUUUGCUGUGCACAACCAGCAAGCCCCUGUUCAGCUAAAGAUUUACACACAUACUUAAGCAUAAGAUCCUGAGCUCCCCAGGGACCAGGGUCAGCCCUGUGCUGUGCCCUUGGCUGGGCAGGGACAGCAGCACACAGCCCUCAGGGGAAGGAAGCCUGUGUGAGAGCAAAGGGUUAUGAAUGCUGAGGAAGAAAAUAGGUUCAUUUCACAAGAAUAUUUGUGGUUAUUUAUCACCCCUCUGUCCAUCUGCACAAACAUUUUAAGAUUUUAUUUUACUUUCUGUUGACAAAAAGCCUCCCCUACACCAAACCUUUUCCUAUGACUACCUAAACAACAGUGGGGUUGUUUUUUAUAGUUGUAAUGUAUAUAUAUCCUAAGUUCUGCCUUCCACCAAUGGUUACCAACACAGCCUCACCACUCUAACGAAAAGCAAUACCAAACACCGUGCUGAAAGCAGCUUUGCCCUGCUUGCAUUCUGGGUUGACCUGGCCACCCAGGACAUGUCAGUUACUCCACUUCCUGGGAGCCUGGCUGGGAGAGCCACGUUCCUGGGCAGUGGAAGUUGUGUAUGAGUAGGGGUUGCAUCGCUUGGUACUAAUUGCAGCUGCAUGUAACAAGUGCCUCUGCCAGUUCUGUUGUUUUUAAUCAUUAUGCCAUACUACCAGCAAUUGCACUCAGAGGAAAUAACGCAAACUUUCUGCAGAUGUAUUUACUUAAUGCAAUAAACAGCUUCAA